UGCCUAGCCUGGGGAGUAUCUCAUGAC
rnacentral:piRNA from 1 species